AUUGAACGCUGGCGGCAUGCUUUACACAUGCAAGUCGAACGGUAACAGGCCGCAAGGUGCUGACGAGUGGCGAACGGGUGAGUAAUGCAUCGGAACGUGCCCAGUCGUGGGGGAUAACGCAGCGAAAGCUGCGCUAAUACCGCAUACGAUCUGUGGAUGAAAGCGGGGGACCUUCGGGCCUCGCGCGAUUGGAGCGGCCGAUGUCAGAUUAGGUAGUUGGUGGGGUAAAGGCUCAUCAAGCGGACGAUCUGUAGAUGGUCUGAGAAGACGACCAGCCACACUGGGACUGAGACACGGCCCAGACUCCUACGGGAGGCAGCAGUGGGGAAUUUUGGACAAUGGGGGCAACCCUGAUCCAGCAAUGCCGCGUGCAGGAAGAAGGCCUUCGGGUUGUAAACUGCUUUUGUACGGAACGAAAAGGCUCUGGUUAAUACCUGGGGCACAUGACGGUACCGUAAGAAUAAGCACCGGCUAACUACGUGCCAGCCGCCGCGGUAACAC
rnacentral:rRNA from 1 species